rnacentral:rRNA from 1 species
UACGUAGGGGGCAAGCGUUGUCCGGAAUCAUUGGGCGUAAAGAGCUCGUAGGCGGCUCAGUAAGUCGGCUGUGAAAGCCCGAGGCUCAACCUCGGAACUGCAGUCGAUACUGCUGUGGCUAGAGUCCGGUAGAGGAGAGUGGAAUUCCCGGUGUAGCGGUGGAAUGCGCAGAUAUCGGGAGGAACACCAGUAGCGAAGGCGGCUCUCUGGGCCGGUACUGACGCUGAGGAGCGAAAGCGUGGGGAGCAAACAGG